rnacentral:rRNA from 1 species
UUCGCAAUGCCCGAAAGGGUGACGAAGCGACGCCGCGUGUGGGAAGAAGGCCUUCGGGUUGUAAACCACUGUCGGGAGUUAAGAAAUGCAAGGAUAUUAAUAGUGUCUUUGUUUGACUAAGGCUCCGGAGGAAGCCACGGCUAACUCUGUGCCAGCAGCCGCGGUAAUACAGAGGCGGCAAGCGUUGUUCGGAAUUAUUGGGCGUAAAGAGCACGUAGGCGGCUGUGUAAGUCGGUUGUGAAAGCCUUCCGCUUAACGGAAGAACGGCAUCCGAUACUGCAUAGCUUGAGUGCGGGAGGGGAGAGUGGAACUUCUGGUGGAGCGGUGAAAUGCGUAGAUAUCAGAAGGAACACCGGCGGCGAAGGCGACUCUCUGGUCCAUAACUGACGCUGAGUGUGCGAAAGCUAGGGGAGCAAACGGGAUUAGAUACCCCGGUAGUCCUAGCCGUAAACGAUGGGCACUAAGUAGAGGGGUUUU